rnacentral:rRNA from 1 species
ACCGGACUGCUAUCGGGGUAGGGCUAAGCCAUGCAAGUCGCACGCCCGGGGGCAUGGCCGGGCGUGGCGGACGGCUCAGUAACGCGUGGCUAACCUACCCUCGGGAGGGGGAUAACCCCGGGAAACUGGGGCUAAUCCCCCAUAGGCGCGGACACCUGGAAUGGGUCCGCACCGAAAGGGGCGUGACGCCAUCCUCGUCACGCCCGCCCGAGGAUGGGGCUGCGUCCUAUCAGGUAGUUGGCGGGGUAACGGCCCGCCAAGCCGAUAACGGGUAGGGGCCGUGAGAGCGGGAGCCCCGAGAUGGGCACUGAGACAAGGGCCCAGGCCCUACGGGGCGCAGCAGGCGCGAAACCUCCGCAAUGCGGGAAACCGUGACGGGGUUACCCCGAGUGCCACCCGAUGAGGGUGGCUUUUCCCCGGUCUAAAAAGCCGGGGGAAUAAGCGGGGGGCAAGUCUGGUGUCAGCCGCCGCGGUAAUAC